GACAGAGGACGCAAGCGUUAUCCGGAAUGAUUGGGGCGUAAAGCGUCUGUAGGUGGCUUUUUUAAGUCCGCCGUCAAAUCCCCAGGGCUCAACCCCUGGACAGGCGGUGGAAACUACCAAGCUGGAGUACGGUAGGGGGCAGAGGGAAUUUCCGGUGGAGCGGUGAAAUGCGUAGAGAUCGGAAAGAACACCAACGGCGAAAGCACUCUGCUGGGCCGACACUGACACUGAGAGACGAAAGCUAGGGGAGCGAAUGGG
rnacentral:rRNA from 1 species